rnacentral:rRNA from 1 species
AAAUUGAAGAGUUUGAUCAUGGCUCAGAUUGAACGCUGGCGGCAGGCCUAACACAUGCAAGUCGAGCGGUAGCACAGAGAGCUUGCUCUCGGGUGACGAGCGGCGGACGGGUGAGUAAUGUCUGGGAAACUGCCUGAUGGAGGGGGAUAACUACUGGAAACGGUAGCUAAUACCGCAUAACGUCGCAAGACCAAAGUGGGGGACCUUCGGGCCUCAUGCCAUCAGAUGUGCCCAGAUGGGAUUAGCUAGUAGGUGGGGUAACGGCUCACCUAGGCGACGAUCCCUAGCUGGUCUGAGAGGAUGACCAGCCACACUGGAACUGAGACACGGUCCAGACUCCUACGGGAGGCAGCAGUGGGGAAUAUUGCACAAUGGGCGCAAGCCUGAUGCAGCCAUGCCGCGUGUGUGAAGAAGGCCUUCGGGUUGUAAAGCACUUUCAGCGGGGAGGAAGGCGAUAAGGUUAAUAACCUUGUCGAUUGACGUUACCCGCAGAAGAAGCACCGGCUAACUCCGUGCCAGCAGCCGCGGUAAUACGGAGGGUGCAAGCGUUAAUCGGAAUUACUGGGCGUAAAGCGCACGCAGGCGGUCUGUCAAGUCGGAUGUGAAAUCCCCGGGCUUAACCUGGGAACUGCAUUCGAAACUGGCAGGCUAGAGUCUUGUAGAGGGGGGUAGAAUUCCAGGUGUAGCGGUGAAAUGCGUAGAGAUCUGGAGGAAUACCGGUGGCGAAGGCGGCCCCCUGGACAAAGACUGACGCUCAGGUGCGAAAGCGUGGGGAGCAAACAGGAUUAGAUACCCUGGUAGUCCACGCCGUAAACGAUGUCGAUUUGGAGGUUGUGCCCUUGAGGCGUGGCUUCCGGAGCUAACGCGUUAAAUCGACCGCCUGGGGAGUACGGCCGCAAGGUUAAAACUCAAAUGAAUUGACGGGGGCCCGCACAAGCGGUGGAGCAUGUGGUUUAAUUCGAUGCAACGCGAAGAACCUUACCUGGUCUUGACAUCCACAGAACUUUCCAGAGAUGGAUUGGUGCCUUCGGGAACUGUGAGACAGGUGCUGCAUGGCUGUCGUCAGCUCGUGUUGUGAAAUGUUGGGUUAAGUCCCGCAACGAGCGCAACCCUUAUCCUUUGUUGCCAGCGGUCCGGCCGGGAACUCAAAGGAGACUGCCAGUGAUAAACUGGAGGAAGGUGGGGAUGACGUCAAGUCAUCAUGGCCCUUACGACCAGGGCUACACACGUGCUACAAUGGCAUAUACAAAGAGAAGCGACCUCGCGAGAGCAAGCGGACCUCAUAAAGUAUGUCGUAGUCCGGAUUGGAGUCUGCAACUCGACUCCAUGAAGUCGGAAUCGCUAGUAAUCGUAGAUCAGAAUGCUACGGUGAAUACGUUCCCGGGCCUUGUACACACCGCCCGUCACACCAUGGGAGUNGGUUGANNAAGAAGUAGGUAGCUUAACCUUCGGGAGGGCGCUUACCACUUUGUGAUUCAUGACUGGGGUGAAGUCGUAACAAGGUAACCGUAGGGGAACCUGCGGUUGGAUCACCUCCUUACCUUAAAGAA